rnacentral:tRNA from 1 species
ACUUUAUGAGUAUUUCUGUAUAUUUGUCUUCCAAACAAAUGGAUUGGCUAGCCCAAAUAAAGUA